CAUCAUGUGUUUUGCGACUUGUCGCUCAGCAGAGAUUUUGACGUGCUGCUGCUUUUUGCUUGCAGGCGUUUGCUUCAGAAUGUACACGGAGAAGGAGGCGGCGCAAGCGGGCGUGGUGGGCUGGGUGAAGAACACUCGUGGCGGGACCGUGGUCGGACAGCUGCAGGGCCCCGCCGACGCUGUCGAGCACAUGAAGGAGUGGCUGAGCAAGAAGGGCAGCCCGAGCAGUCACAUCACGAGGACGUCGUUCAAUAAUGAGCGGACGCUGUCGGCCUUGGAGAUGAGCAGCUUCAGCACUCGCUACUAAUGGGCAGUCGCCACCCCGCCGACGGGUCGCCAUGGACUGCUUGACUUCCCGUUUGCCCACGUUUCUCCGUUUGUCUUCUCCAUCACGCAACGAAUGGCCUUCUUUCCUACUAUGAUGUCACGAUCAUUUACAGAACCCCGUCACCAGCUCAACUGACUUGACAGCCAGGCCGGAUGAAGGUCGAAAGGGUCAACGAAGGGUCUGUGGCGUUCGUCGCUUCCUGAUGACACGCCGCCCCCUCAAGGACAGACUGGCUAACCUACUGCAGUACAUCGAAACCUUGACACAACUUAAAUUUGAAGAUAAGAUGACUCGACAACAAUGGCAGUGGAGUUUCAUGGUCAAAUCUAUUUGAUAUACCAUAUUGGCCCGAAUAUAAGACGACCCUGAUUGUAAGACGACCCCCUCUGUUAGGGUGGUGCUCACUCUAACUUAUUUUGCAAGAACCACACGGAGACAAGUUAGUCGUUUUGGGCACCUGCAGGUGGAGAGUUCACUCGUCGCUGUGGUUACAGCGAUGGUCGAAUGAAGUCUGACUCUCCCUUCCCACAAGAGCAUCUUUAUUAAGAGGAAAAGGGUGGGGGUGACAGUAGACUGAAUAAACAAGUUAAAGCUCUUGACCUCUAGGUAAACAGAGCAGGGGAUGUUUUACGACAUUGUUUAGGAUGGGACAGAGUUAGGUGGUUUAUUACCGGUUACAUACCAACGUAAGCAUAAAACUAAUCCACCUAAGUUAUUUAUUACCGGUUAUAUACAUUCCAACAUAAUCAUAGAUCAAGAUAGUUUGGAAAACCCUGACACCCUCUUUUUCAAAACUCAAGUUUGAAAAAAUACUUUUUGACACCAAAUUUAUUUUUUAUACAGAAAAUAAUUACGGUACAUCUGAAACAAAUGAUUAUAACUGUCACGUCUCGUCCCCAGUUUUGCUAUGUGUCUAGGUUGCUAUAGUUUCUGUUUGCGUCGCCCCUCCCCUCUUGUGUCACCUCAAUCAAUGUAAUCCCGGUCACCUGCCUCGUGUUUCGUGUUUUGUAUUUAAGUCCUGUCUGCCCCUUACCACCCGUCGGAUCAUUGUUGUUGUACUGUCUUGCUGUUUUCUUGUUUCACGUCCCGGUCAGUCAGUCAAGUUAUUGUUUAAGUCAUGUCAGUUUGCCUUUUGAGUUUGCUUCAAUAAACCCUGGUCCAAGCUGCA